rnacentral:hammerhead_ribozyme from 1 species
GCACUGCUGAGGAGUCCCACAAUAGGACGAAAAGGCCGUCCAAUGC